GGGGCUGUGGCUCAGCGGUAGAGUUUCUGCUUUGCUUGCAGAAGGCCCUGGGUUCAAUCCUCGGCAGCUCCA